rnacentral:rRNA from 1 species
CCUACGGUGGGCAGCAGUGAGGAAUAUUGGUCAAUGGCCGGAAGGCUGAACCAGCCAAGCCGCGUGAAGGACGAAGGUGCCAAGCAUUGUAAACUUCUUUUGUCAAGGGACAAAAUCAGGCUCGAGAGCCUGACCGAGGGUACUUGAAGAAAAAGCAUCGGCUAACUCCGUGCCAGCAGCCGCGGUAAUACGGAGGAUGCGAGCGUUAUCCGGAUGUAUGGGGGUUAAAGGGUGCGUAGGCGGACGGUUAAGUCAGCGGUAAAAGCCCGGGGCUCAACCCCGGCGAGCCGUUGAAACUGGCUGGCUUGAGAUGUCGAGAGGUAGGCGGAAUGCGGAGUGUAGCGGUGAAAUGCUUAGAUAUUGCGCAGAACUCCGAUUGCGAGGGCAGCAUACCGGCGGCGAUCUGACGCUGAGGCACGAAAGCGUGGGUAUCGAACAGGAUUAGAGACCCGGGUAGUC